rnacentral:rRNA from 1 species
UGGGGAAUAUUGCACAAUGGAGGGAACUCUGAUGCAGCGACGCCGCGUGAGUGAUGAAGGAAUUCGUUUCGUAAAACUCUGUUCUAUGGGAAGAAAAGGACUGUACCAUAGGAGAAAGCUCCGGCUAAAUACGUGCCAGCAGCCGCGGUAAUACGUAUGGAGCGAGCGUUGUCCGGAAUUAUUGGGCGUAAAGGGUGCGCAGGCGGCUUUACAAGUUGGAUGUGAAAUAUUGUGGCUCAACCACAAACGUGCAUCCAAAACUGCAAAGAUGAAGUUAAGGAGAGGUAAGUGGAAUUCCUGGUGUAGCGGUGGAAUGCGUAGAUAACAGGAGGAAUAACGGUGGCGAAGGCGACUUACUGGACUUAAACUGACGCUCAGGCACUAAGGCGUGGGGAGCAAACAGG